rnacentral:rRNA from 1 species
AGGACGAACGCUGGCGGUGUGCUUAACACAUGCAAGUGGUGCGACGAACCAGAGCUUGCUCUGGGGCAAAGCCGCGAACGGGUGAGUAACACGUGGGUAAUCUACCCCGAUGACCGGGACAACCCGAGGAAACUCGGGCUAAUACCGGAUGUGGUACGGAGACAUAAGUCUCUUUACUAAAGGUAGCUUCGGCUUCCGCAUUGGGAGGGGCCCGCGGCCCAUUAGCUAGUUGGUGGGGUCAAGGCCUACCAAGGCAACGAUGGGUAGCUGGUCUGAGAGGACGAUCAGCCACACUGGGACUGAGACACGGCCCAGACUCCUACGGGAGGCAGCAGUGGGGAAUCUUGCGCAAUGCGCGAAAGCGUGACGCAGCAACACCGCGUGAGGGAAGACGGCCUUAGGGUUGUAAACCUCUUUCAGAUGGGACGAAGGUGAUGCGGUGAAUAGCCGAUGUCAUUGACGGUACCGUCAGAAAAAGCUCCGGCUAACUACGUG